UACGAAGGGUGCAAGCGUUACUCGGAAUUACUGGGCGUAAAGGGUGCGUAGGUGGUUUGUUAAGUCUGCUGUGAAAUCCCCGGGCUCAACCUGGGAAUGGCAGUGGAUACUGGCAAGCUAGAGUGCGGUAGAGGGUAGUGGAAUUCCCGGUGUAGCAGUGAAAUGCGUAGAGAUCGGGAGGAACACCAGUGGCGAAGGCGGCUACCUGGACCAGCACUGACGCUGAAGCACGAAAGCGUGGGGAGCAAACAGG
rnacentral:rRNA from 1 species